UACGGGGGGAGCAAGCGUUGUUCGGAUUUACUGGGCGUAAAGGGCGCGUAGGCGGUUCGUACAGUCAGACGUGAAAUUCCUGGGCUCAACCUGGGGGCUGCGUUUGAUACGUGCGGACUUGAGUGCGGAAGAGGGUCGUGGAAUUCCCAGUGUAGAGGUGAAAUUCGUAGAUAUUGGGAAGAACACCGGUGGCGAAGGCGGCGACCUGGUCCGAUACUGACGCUGAGGCGCGAAAGCGUGGGGAGCAAACAGG
rnacentral:rRNA from 1 species